rnacentral:rRNA from 1 species
AGUGAACGCUGGCGGUAGGCCUAACACAUGCAAGUCGAACGGCAGCACAGGAGAGCUUGCUCUCUGGGUGGCGAGUGGCGGACGGGUGAGGAAUACAUCGGAAUCUACUCUGUCGUGGGGGAUAACGUAGGGAAACUUACGCUAAUACCGCAUACGACCUACGGGUGAAAGCAGGGGACCUUCGGGCCUUGCGCGAUUGAAUGCGCCGAUGUUGGAUUAGCUAGUUGGCGGGGAAAAGGCCCACCAAGGCGACGAUCCGUAGCUGGCCAGGGAGGGUGAUCAGACAUACGUGAACUGAGACACGGUCCAGACUCCUACGGGAGGCAGCAGUGGGGAAUAUUGGACAAUGGGCGCAAGCCUGAUCCAGCAAUACCGCGUGGGUGAAGAAGGCCUUCGGGUUGUAAAGCCCUUUUGUUGGGAAAGAAAUCCAGCUGGCUAAUACCCGGUUGGGAUGACGGUACCCAAAGAAUAAGCACCGGCUAACUUCGUGCCAGCCGCCGCCGUAA